UACGUAGGGUGCAAGCGUUGUCCGGAAUUAUUGGGCGUAAAGAGCUCGUAGGCGGUUUGUCGCGUCUGCUGUGAAAACGCGAGGCUCAACCUCGCGCCUGCAGUGGGUACGGGCAGACUAGAGUGCGGUAGGGGAGAUUGGAAUUCCUGGUGUAGCGGUGGAAUGCACAGAUAUCAGGAGGAACACCGAUGGCGAAGGCAGAUCUCUGGGCCGUAACUGACGCUGAGGAGCGAAAGCGUGGGGAGCGAACAGG
rnacentral:rRNA from 1 species